rnacentral:lncRNA from 1 species
AUCAUUUAUAUUACCGGAGACAAACUCCAACUCAGUUCCACCAACUGAGUGAAAAGUCCCUGUGGCUAAGAACGUAUUACUUCUUUUUCAACAUAAAAACGCCUUAUUAAAAAUUUUUUUUAAACACAAAAGUACUUAUGCUGUUUUCCGUCUACUAUCUUCAAAACUCAAUUCAAUAACGAGAUAGAAGGUAAAAACUCCUAUAAUACUUCAGAGAUCAACAUGUGUCACAGACUCGCAGACUGUUCGCCUCUAAGACAUAGUUGAUUCCUUUGUUCCUCCAGACGGAACAGCAACUCUUGAUUAAAAUUUGGAAAACUACUUUGGAAGGGUUGUGACGGUUUGCAGAAUAUUUCCCGGGAAACCCUUCAUAAGACAAUAUCCACUAGUAGUAGAAGAGGACACACAGAUGUAAGAGAGAAAAACGAAGCCUCCCAGGACCUGCACAGGGUUCACUCUAGAGGUGAACCCGGUUUUCUGGCUCCGGAGAAAAGUGAUGGUUGAGGCCUCGGGUCCCAGGGGCCUCGCCCUCGGGAGGGGAAGGACACGUACCAACGGGCCUGGCUGGACCCGAGGGUCGGCUAGGGGCCGGGAGCGCGGUCCCCUUGCCUACCCACUUUCCCCAGUCCGGGAUCCGGCCAGCUCAGAGCAGGGAGGCACCCGGGCGAGAGGCGGGGGGAGCUGCGCCCGGCGCCGCCCAGGACGCCCGGGGCAGCAGGACUGAGAACGGCGCGACGAGAAGCGCCCGGGGCUCCGGGCCGAGGGGGACAGCCGAGCGGGGGCGCGACCCCGGCCCGGGUCCGGGGCAACACGGCGGCCGCCCUCCCGUCCCCGGCCCAGGACGGCCAAGAACGCGCCGGGCGGCAGGCACGCGCUCGGGUCCCGGAGGCUCGCGGGAACUGCGGGGCCCCCUCGGUUGGCUGGUUUUCCUCCUCGCCCGCCCUCCGGCCGGCCGGGCGGGGGCUGCGGGGGCCCCGAGGCAGCGGGAGGAGCACGGCGGCCGGGAGAGAAGGCACCCAGGGAUAAUCGGCGGGUGAGUCCGAGAAGAAAACUGGGAAGGAGACCUGAGGAGCGCCGGGUUCAGCUCCUCGGACGGGAGCAGGGUUUAUCUUCUGCUGCUUUGUCACUGCGAAGUCUCCAGCGGAGCCGUUCCGCGAAUCGACAUCGUCCUCGGACCGAACCUGACCCUCCAAGACAAGGCAGAAGGCACCCAGCUGCCACUUCUCGGGCAGCUCUCCGCCGGUUCAGGCUCCGAGUAAGAAAUAACAAUUACAUCACGAGGCCGGGGCGGUAG